UCUGUCAAGACACGACAGGCACGAUGUUCCGAAUGAAUAUGUUAAAACGACUGGGAACGAGGAUAUUUGUUGUUUUGAUCACAAUCUGAAGAUGACCUCCGAAAAAAGGCACUGGAACAAUUGAUGUGCCUCUACAGAAAACCUCAGCCAUGAAGAAAGCUGCCAUUUUGACUGGACGUAUUGAAGGAGUUACCUGAAUUCCUUAAAGAUUUAAGGCACUGCAGCAUCUAACAUGGAUGCAUCCUUAAAGAUGGUGGCUUUAGGUCAAGAAAGAGUCAUCAGAAGCGAGAUGCUCUGCAAGAAAAACAACACUUUGUCAGAAGGGUGGUCCCAAGGUCAACCGGUUGUUAAUCGAAGGUCAACAUAUACAUUGUAAGAUGUUUUCACAACACAUAUUGGAAGACUCAUUUUAACUUGGUGUUUUUACAGCCUCUAAUAAUAUUUUGGGCGUUAUUGAAAUCAAGUGUUUUGGCUAGAAUGUCAAUGUCAUUGAAGAAUUGACUUGUCACCUAUUAUUAAAGAUAGGAAAUUCACGUAAAAAAUCUGCACCAUUACCAUCAUGCUUCUCAAAAGCUUAACUUUUCAGUCCAGAUGAACAAGAUUUUAAGAAAGAAUGAAAAUGUGAUGUUAGAAGUUCAACAAGUGUUCUCAAAACUUUACAACCAAUUAACUUUGAAUGAAUGAUUGAAGCCUUCCCACAGGUUCGCAGUGCUGUACAGCGUUACGAUUUAUAGUUAAAUUUCCAAGAUGUCGCCACAACCUGUGUAGAAGGAUUUCGGGGAUUCAUAGGAACCGGAAAACAAACAUGGAGUACAUUACAAAUUAAUUUUGUGUUGUGAUGGGCUGUAAAUCGAGGAUCAUGUUACUAGCAGGUAGUGCGGUGUGUUCAAACUGAAGGAACGGAUCUACAGACGAAGCAGAGAUGAUGACCUUGACCUUUUGUGACCUGGAUGUUUGAAGUGAUAUUUUCUAGUCGCUGACUUGUGUGUUAACCGGAAUGCUUUUUCACCUGAAAACCGAACUGAUACACACCUGGAUGACAAAUAAAACAAUACGAAGCUUGGAUAGUGAGGAAUGCAACAGAUUUUGAUCAGGAAGUAAAACAAAUAUAAUGUUCAGGCAGAACAGCAGGGAAAUCAAACAAUUGUUUGGAGAUAAUUCGGUGUAGCUUUACAUUGGAUUACUGAAGUUUGAACCGAGGAUUACUUUGUGUCUUUUGGUAGUUCCCGUUACCACUUUUCCAUUGGAUUACACUUCAAACAUGGAGACAAUAUUAAUUGUUUAAUGCGUCAUUGGAAUGACAACUCAUUCUUUACAUGUCAUGAAUGAUGUUUUCCUGUGUAUGAUGGUGUGGGCUCAAAACAAGAUUCUAAAAUUAAACGUGAACAAUUACAACUGUUGAAAUAUAUAUUUAUUGGAUUGUUAAUUUAACAUGAAAUGACAAAAUGGACAUUUCAACUUGAACAUUAAAGACUUUUUCUUGAUUGAGUGUUGGGAUGUACAAGGGCCUUGUCUCAUUUUGAGAAGAAAAUAGAAAUUUGAGGAUGUUGGCUUUAAUGUGAAAUAAUUUCAGUCGAGAAUCAGACUAGAAUAUCGGCCACAAAAGUCCCCAGAAAAAGAUCUGCAACAGCUUUGUUUUUUUACUAAAAAAUCAAGUAUACAGUGCCAUGAUAGUGUCAAAUAGAUUGGUGGCAGCAUGAGGGCUAUUAACUGUGUUUGAAUAAAUGACCUUGACCCACAUUCAAAAUCACAAAGGUUAAACAUGCUAAAAAUAUACUUUAUAAAUUCAAAUGUGUUUUCUACGCAACAAUGCAUUCCUUGUAUUAUGUCUAUCCAUUGUGGCCUAAUAAAGAAAGUUCAUUGUCAUAAU